GGUGGCUCAGUGGUAGAGUGCUUGCCUUGCAUGCAUGAGGUCCUGUGUUUGAUUCCUCAGCACCA
rnacentral:tRNA from 1 species